UGAUCAUGGCUCAGGACGAACGCUGGCGGCGUGCCUAAUACAUGCAAGUCGAACGAACUCUGGUAUUGAUUGGUGCUUGCAUCAUGAUUUACAUUUGAGUGAGUGGCGAACUGGUGAGUAACACGUGGGAAACCUGCCCAGAAGCGGGGGAUAACACCUGGAAACAGAUGCUAAUACCGCAUAACAACUUGGACCGCAUGGUCCGAGUUUGAAAGAUGGCUUCGGCUAUCACUUUUGGAUGGUCCCGCGGCGUAUUAGCUAGAUGGUGGGGUAACGGCUCACCAUGGCAAUGAUACGUAGCCGACCUGAGAGGGUAAUCGGCCACAUUGGGACUGAGACACGGCCCAAACUCCUACGGGAGGCAGCAGUAGGGAAUCUUCCACAAUGGACGAAAGUCUGAUGGAGCAACGCCGCGUGAGUGAAGAAGGGUUUCGGCUCGUAAAACUCUGUUGUUAAAGAAGAACAUAUCUGAGAGUAACUGUUCAGGUAUUGACGGUAUUUAACCAGAAAGCCACGGCUAACUACGUGCCAGCAGCCGCGGUAAUACGUAGGUGGCAAGCGUUGUCCGGAUUUAUUGGGCGUAAAGCGAGCGCAGGCGGUUUUUUAAGUCUGAUGUGAAAGCCUUCGGCUCAACCGAAGAAGUGCAUCGGAAACUGGGAAACUUGAGUGCAGAAGAGGACAGUGGAACUCCAUGUGUAGCGGUGAAAUGCGUAGAUAUAUGGAAGAACACCAGUGGCGAAGGCGGCUGUCUGGUCUGUAACUGACGCUGAGGCUCGAAAGUAUGGGUAGCAAACAGGAUUAGAUACCCUGGUAGUCCAUACCGUAAACGAUGAAUGCUAAGUGUUGGAGGGUUUCCGCCCUUCAGUGCUGCAGCUAACGCAUUAAGCAUUCCGCCUGGGGAGUACGGCCGCAAGGCUGAAACUCAAAGGAAUUGACGGGGGCCCGCACAAGCGGUGGAGCAUGUGGUUUAAUUCGAAGCUACGCGAAGAACCUUACCAGGUCUUGACAUACUAUGCAAAUCUAAGAGAUUAGACGUUCCCUUCGGGGACAUGGAUACAGGUGGUGCAUGGUUGUCGUCAGCUCGUGUCGUGAGAUGUUGGGUUAAGUCCCGCAACGAGCGCAACCCUUAUUAUCAGUUGCCAGCAUUAAGUUGGGCACUCUGGUGAGACUGCCGGUGACAAACCGGAGGAAGGUGGGGAUGACGUCAAAUCAUCAUGCCCCUUAUGACCUGGGCUACACACGUGCUACAAUGGAUGGUACAACGAGUUGCGAACUCGCGAGAGUAAGCUAAUCUCUUAAAGCCAUUCUCAGUUCGGAUUGUAGGCUGCAACUCGCCUACAUGAAGUCGGAAUCGCUAGUAAUCGCGGAUCAGCAUGCCGCGGUGAAUACGUUCCCGGGCCUUGUACACACCGCCCGUCACACCAUGAGAGUUUGUAACACCCAAAGUCGGUGGGGUAACCUUUUAGGAACCAGCCGCCUAAGGUGGGACAGAUGAUUAGGGUGAAGUCGUAACAAGGUAGCCGUAGGAGAACCUGCGGUUGGAUCAC
rnacentral:rRNA from 2 species